UACAUAGGGUGCAAGCGUUAAUCGGAAUUACUGGGCGUAAAGCGUGCGUAGACGGUUAUUUAAGUCAGGUGUGAAAGCCCCGGGCUCAACCUGGGAAUUGCAUUUGAGACUGAAUAGCUAGGGUGCGGAAGAGGGAAGCGGAAUUUCCGGUGUAGCGGUGAAAUGCGUAGAUAUCGGAAGGAACACCAGUGGCGAAAGCGGCUUCCUGGUCCAGCACCGACGUUCAGGCACGAAAGCGUGGGGAGCAAACAGG
rnacentral:rRNA from 1 species